UACGUAGGGAGCUAGCGUUGUCCGGAUUUAUUGGGCGUAAAGAGCUCGUAGGUGGUUCGGUAAGUCGGAUGUGAAAUCUCCAGGCUCAACCUGGAGGGGUCAUUCGAUACUGCCGUGACUAGAGUUCGGUAGAGGAGUGUGGAAUACCCAGUGUAGCGGUGAAAUGCGUAGAGAUUGGGUGGAACACCGGUGGCGAAGGCGGCUAUCUGGCUCACAACUGACGAUCAGGCACGAAAGCGUGGGGAGCAAACAGG
rnacentral:rRNA from 1 species